rnacentral:rRNA from 1 species
AACGUAGGAGGCGAGCGUUAUCCGGAUUCACUGGGUGUAAAGCGCGUGCAGGCGGUUCGGUAAGUUGGGCGUGAAAUCUCCUGGCUCAACUAGGAGAGGUCGUUCAAUACUACCGGACUUGAGAGUGGUAGAGGAAGAUGGAAUUCCCGGUGUAGUGGUGAAAUGCGUAGAUAUCGGGAGGAACACCAGUGGCGAAGGCGAUCUUCUGGACCAUUUCUGACGCUCAGACGCGACAGCUAGGGUAGCAAACGGGAUUAGAAACCCCAGUAGUCC